GAUGAACGCUGGCGGCGUGCCUAAUACAUGCAAGUCGAGCGAACAGACGAGGAGCUUGCUCCUCUGACGUUAGCGGCGGACGGGUGAGUAACACGUGUAUAACCUACCUAUCAUACUGGGAUAACUUCGGGAAACCGGAGCUAAUACCGGAUAAUAUCUUGAACCGCAUGGUUCAAUAGUGAAAUACGGUUUUGCUGUCACUUAUCGAUGGAUCCGCGCCGCAUUAGCUAGUUGGUAAGGUAACGGCUUACCAAGGCAACGAUGCGUAGCCGACCUGAGAGGGGGAUCGGCAACACUGGAACUGAGACACGGUCCAGACUCCUACGGGAGGCAGCAGUAGGGAAUCUUCCGCAAUGGGCGAAAGCCUGACGGAGCAACGCCGCGUGAGUGAUGAAGGUCUUCGGAUCGUAAAACUCUGUUAUUAGGGAAGAACAAAUGUGUAAGUAACUAUGCACGUCUUGACGGUACCUAAUCAGAAAGCCACGGCUAACUACGUG
rnacentral:rRNA from 1 species